GUGCGCUGACGAUGGUUGACGAAGGAGAAGAAGAAGAAGAAACGGUUGUUGUAAAUCUCGUGAAUGCACGUAGACAGUGUUUUGAUGCCAGAGCUGACUGAUGGGUGCACAUGGUUCAUUCGUAUGUUCUUCCUUUGAAAAAAUAAACGUAUUUUGAUGCCAGAGCUGACUGAUGGGUGCACAUGGUUCCUUCGUAUGUUCUUCCUUUGAAAAAAUAAACGUAUUUUGAUGCCUGAGCUGACUGAUGGGUGCACAUGGUUCCUUCGUAUGUUCUUCCUUUGAAAAAAU